UGAAGCCAAAUGCAAUGGUCAGUUCACUUUCACUUUCUUCAAAAGAAACAGGAACAACUCUCUCUCUUUUUCUUUAUAGGUAAAUCUUCAAACUAGUCCUGCAGCGAUUACUACCAGCUUAAAAUAUUAUGGAUUUUUUUUUUUAACCUCAAAAUACUGCAAUUUUACCUAUGAUCAACAGAGAACUUGGGGCCUGUUACAGUUAUUUUGUUCCUUAUACACGUGGACCCCACACUUGUGCUGAAGACAAAGAGAAAACUCUUUAAACCAGUCUGGGGUCAUGAAGUUCCUCUAGACUCUCCAAGUCUGCCCAGAGCCUGAACUGUGCCGAGGUGAGACCCUGAGGCAAAGAAAACCUGAGUCCUUCUGAGGCAGGUGAGCUGCACCUGGGAGUUGUUGCUGUUGAUUUAUUUAACUUGGUGCUGGGCAGCACUGCACCUGAGGUACUGAUCUAUUCCGUAUUGCUGAGUGUUCCAGCAGCAAAUGAAGAAUAUGUAUCUGUUCCUCCUUUCCAUUUUAUAUUUGCUUUUGAAAGCCACUGGCACCAAAGAGGUUAUAUUUGGUCAUAAUCAUUUCACAGAAUAUCAAGUGGGCAACAUGAACCUGAUUCUUUCUGUCCCACAUGGUGGGUCAAUGGAACCCAAAGACAUCCCUGAUCGAGAGGCUGGCUGUUGGGAUGCAAAGACAUCCUCUUGUAUUUUCUCUCAUCAGUGUCCUCUGGGAAGCAAUCAAAAUUCUAAGAAAUGCAAAGUGUCUACGAACCAAGACAGGUAUACUAUAGAGGUGGCUCAAGCUCUUGCUGAAGAAAUCAGCAGAAGUACCGAUGGCUUCAUCCCACAUAUCAUUAUAAAUCACCUACAGAGGUUCAAGAUGGAUGCUAACAGGGAAAAGGAAGAAGCCUCCUUUGGAAUUCCCCAAGCAGAACAGGCCUGGGAGGAGUAUAUGGGAUUUCUGACCACUGCAAAAUCACAGAUGACAGGGGGCCUGAUUCUGGAUAUCCAUGGACAAGCACAUCCUGAACAGUGGAUAGAACUAGGUUACACCCUUUCAAAAACUUCCCUUAACUCAGGUGUCUUUUCUGCAUCAAGUUCCUCAGUUAGCCAUCUGGCCAGUCAGCUAGUCAAUGUGUCUUCUGAGACUCUGGUUGCAGGGAACAGAAGUUUAGGUAAAUAUAUUGAAGAACAAAAUAACAGUUAUGUUUCUGUGCCUUCUCCAUCCAAUCCUAGCCCAAAUAAUGGGAGCUAUUACAGUGGUGGAUACAUAACAAAGACUUUUGGUUCCCGUAGUUCUGGCACUGUUGAUGCCAUUCAGCUUGAACUACCCCAGUGGGUGAGGGCAGCUGAUGAACGUCCCAGAUUUUGUAAAGCGCUGGCAAGGGCUGUAAUGAAAUUCUGGCAAACUAACUACUGCAGCCAGUACAACAACAAAUUUCUGCCAUGCCGUAAGAGGCUGUCUUGUUAAGAUAACUUUCCUUAAUACAUUAAUGACUUGCAACAACAGAACAACUGAUACACCUGGAACAUUUAAGCCUGCAAAGUAAUUGUGGAUGAUGGUGGAAAGAAACUAACCUGCAAAAGAAUACAGAGACAUCAACAUAGAGAAAAUCCACAGCUAAUACCAAUAAGUCUGUUAACACACAGCUUGGUACUAGAUCCAGCAUUGAAAAGACCGCUUGAAUCUGAGUGGGUAUAUUUGGAAGUAUCACUUGCCUGAUAUGCUUUUCUGUGCUUAAUUUCUUUCCAGUAGCAUCGUCUGAUGUCUAGCACACAAUAAACAACUAUUCUUCUAA